CUUAGAGUUUGAUCCUGGCUCAGAUUGAACGCUGGCGGCAUGCCUUACACAUGCAAGUCGAACGGCAGCACGGGAGCAAUCCUGGUGGCGAGUGGCGAACGGGUGAGUAAUAUAUCGGAACGUGCCCAGUCGUGGGGGAUAACGUAGAGAAAUUUACGCUAAUACCGCAUACGAUCUAAGGAUGAAAGCGGGGGAUCGCAAGGCCUCGCGCGAUUGGAGCGGCUGAUAUCAGAUUAGGUUGUUGGUGAGGUAAAAGCUCACCAAGCCGACGAUCUGUAGCUGGUUUGAGAGAACGACCAGCCACACUGGGACUGAGACACGGCCCAGACUCCUACGGGAGGCAGCAGUGGGGAAUUUUGGACAAUGGGCGCAAGCCUGAUCCAGCAAUGCCGCGUGCAGGAAGAAGGCCUUCGGGUUGUAAACUGCUUUUGUACGGAACG
rnacentral:rRNA from 1 species